ACUGAAAACAAACUAUGGUGUGCUUUGACCAGUGACUGUAGUUUAGCCUGCUGUGGAUCAAGAACGUUUCCACCAGUCUCCUUGGAUAGAGGCAGUGGUAAGUGUUCUCCAAGUUUAAAUAGGAAUGUACUAACAGAAUCGGGCUGCUUAGAAAAUGCAUUAGUAACUACUGUUUUCUUUCAGAUGAAGGGAGCAGAGGAGAAGAGGGAUGUAAAAGAAGAGCCAAUGACACACAGUCUUUUACACUGCAGACCGAUGGAUAGGGAACUCCAGGAUGCAGGAUCUGGACAAUAUUCUGACACAGCUGGCUGUGGUUUAGCUAAGAGAUACAGAAUGCAUUGCACUCUUCCUUCCUGAUGCCUCCCCACUCUGAGGCUGCAAGACCAUAGGGGGAAUUCAUGAGACUCGGGAUCUUGAAGAAUGUUCCUGCUGCAGUGUAUUCUCUGUUCACGAUCAUGGCAUAAGCAAUUGAAGAGUCAGAAGAGUACUGCCAGUGAUUUCAGUGGUUCCAAAAAGAGUUUUUGUCUAGUUUGCUCUCCUUGACCGUGGCCCUUGCAUUAUGUUUUCCAUUUAAAAGACAAAGAGGUUAAAAACUUUGGGGAAGGAGAACUCAGUUGCCUCUUUCAAAAGCUAAAGCCUGUUUGUGGUUUAGGAUCCACUGGUUAUGCAACUCUGCCUCCCACUUUGUAACUGUUUAUUAUCUGUCCCAAGGUGGUAAUCAUCUGAUAAUGACUUCUGAUCAUUGUUUAUUGGCCUUUGUGAAACCAGUCAGUGGCCUUGCCAGUUAUUAACUUGCCAUUAUUUAUUAUUAUUACAAAUUGGUACUUAAUGUUGUUAGCUUACAGAGCACUUGCAAACAAGGAUGGUGGUAUCCAUGGUACUAUGAAUCCUAUGGAUUUGUUCGUCCCCUUAUGUUUGCCUCUUAAACACUUCAGAGCAAGAAGUUUGUAAUCCAAUCUUGUUUGCAGGAUUGAUUCAUAGUUACUGUUCAGUGUAGGAAUAUUGAACUCAAUUAAAAGAGAAAAGAGGAGGAGUUUAGGCUACUGAUAAUCUUCCUCCAAGAGGUGUGGGAAGGAGUGUGAUUUUGAUGGAAAACAGGGUCCCUGGUUAGAUAUUGAAGAUACAGGGGCUAUAGGCAAAUACCUUUGUUCAGUAGGAAAUUAAUCUAAAGAUACAAGUAGCAUUGAAGAGAGUCUGUAUAUCUUUGCAUACACAGGGGGACACAGCAAUUCUUCUGGUAGGCUGUACUUUAAGCAGAGGUGGCCUAGUGCCGUAGCUACCAUAGUCUCGUGGUUUGGGGCCCAAGAACUGGAUAUAAUGGCCUUUUUUCUUUUUUUCUCAGUACAAUUUUAUUUUUUCUUUUAAGCUGACCUUGACAACAGAAUUCUUUAAAGCUUCAAAAAAUAAAGCUAGGACAUCAGUUAGUUUUUAGGUUUCA
rnacentral:lncRNA from 1 species